AGUGAACGCUAGCGGUGCGCCUAACACAUGCAAGUCGCGCGACCCUUUACGGGGAGCGGCGAACGGCUGCGUAACACGUUGGAACCUACCCCAUACUCAGGGAUAACCCAGGGAAACUUGGACUAAUACCGGAUAGUCUCGUAAGAGUAAAGCUACGGCGGUAUGGGAGGGGCCUGCGGCCUAUCAGUUAGUUGGUAAGGUAAAAGCUUACCAAGACUAUGACGGGUAGCUGAUCUGAGAGGAUGAUCAGCCAGAAUGGGACUGAGACACGGCCCAU
rnacentral:rRNA from 1 species